GACGAACGCUGGCGGCGUGCCUAAUACAUGCAAGUCGAGCGGAUUGAUGGGAGCUUGCUCCCUGAUAUCAGCGGCGGACGGGUGAGUAACACGUGGGCAACCUGCCUAUAAGACUGGGAUAACUUCGGGAAACCGGAGCUAAUACCGGAUAAUCCCUUUCCUCUCAUGAGGAAAGGCUGAAAGAUGGUUUACGCUAUCACUUAUAGAUGGGCCCGCGGCGCAUUAGCUAGUUGGUGAGGUAACGGCUCACCAAGGCAACGAUGCGUAGCCGACCUGGGAGGGUGAUCGGCCUCACUGGGACUGAGACACGGCCCAGACUCCUACGGGAGGCAGCAGUAGGGAAUCUUCCGCAAUGGACGAAAGUCUGACGGAGCAACGCCGCGUGAGUGAUGAAGGUUUUCGGAUCGUAAAACUCUGUUGUUAGGGAAGAACAAGUACGAGAGUAACUGCUCGUACCUUGACGGUACCUAACCAGAAAGCCACGGCUAACUACGUGCCAGCCGCCGCCGUAA
rnacentral:rRNA from 1 species